rnacentral:rRNA from 1 species
CACACUGCCGAGAAAAGCCUCUAGAUAGAAAAUAGGUGCCCGUACCGCAAACCGACACAGGUAGUCAAGAUGAGAAUUCUAAGGUGAGCGAGCGAACUCUCGUUAAGGAACUCGGCAAAAUGACCCCGUAACUUCGGGAGAAGGGGUGCUCUUUAGGGUUAACGCCCAGAAGAGCCGCAGUGAAUAGGCCCAAGCGACUGUUUAUCAAAAACACAGGUCUCUGCUAAACCGUAAGGUGAUGUAUAGGGGCUGACGCCUGCCCGGUGCUGGAAGGUUAAGAGGAGUGGUUAGCUUCUGCGAAGCUACGAAUCGAAGCCCCAGUAAACGGCGGCCGUAACUAUAACGGUCCUAAGGUAGCGAAAUUCCUUGUCGGGUAAGUUCCGACCCGCACGAAAGGCGUAACGAUUUGGGCACUGUCUCAACGAGAGACUCGGUGAAAUCAUAGUACCUGUGAAGAUGCAGGUUACCCGCGACAGGACGGAAAGACCCCGUGGAGCUUUACUGUAGCCUGAUAUUGAAAUUCGGCACAGCUUGUACAGGAUAGGUAGGAGCCUUUGA